UUCGGGGCAAACUUGGGGUAAAGUUGAGGCCAAAUGGAGAGUUCCUAGUGUUGGUCCGAGUGAAUACGUGUUCUUCGUCAACUCCAACACCAGGCCAUGUUUUGAUGGCUUUCUGUGUAUCGGACAAGCAAAGUACAUCCACAAUCUUCACACCAAACGCAGCUCAUCGGGGUGUCCGGAUGUGCGCUUUAAUUUCAUGAUUGGUGGGGACGGAAACGUUUACGAAGGCCGUGGGUGGAACGUCAGACCGGCACUACCUAGGAGGCACAACAGGUUGAAUGGUAUAAGCCUUCUUGUUGCCUUCAUUGGCACCUUUCUAGAAACAGAGGUGCCAACUAUCAUGUUUGAAACGAGGGAAGAGCUUGUUCGUUAUGGAAUAAAGAACGGUUACAUAUUACCUAAACACACCCAGUUCAGCUUGCCAGCUAUAAGU